UACGGAGGGUGCGAGCGUUGUCCGGAAUUACUGGGCGUAAAGGGCGCGUAGGCGGCCUGCUAAGUCGAACGUGAAAUCCCCGGGCUCAACCCGGGAACUGCGUCCGAUACUGGCAGGCUUGAAUCCGGGAGAGGGAUGUGGAAUUCCUGGUGUAGCGGUGAAAUGCGCAGAUAUUAGGAGGAACACCGGUGGCGAAGGCGGGUCUCUGGGCAACAACUGACGCUGAGGAGCGAAAGCGUGGGGAGCGAACAGG
rnacentral:rRNA from 1 species